UGGGCUCUCAGCAUCGAAGAGGAAGACGUGGGCUCUCAUGUCUCCACAGGUGCCAAGCCUACACUUGGAGACAUGGCUUGUCUGAUCCUGAGGUGCCUGCCAUGGGGUUUGGUGUUGGAGUAGGAGAGGCGAUCGUGUGGGUGGGCGGACGACGUGGUGCUCAGAUAACCAGAGGUUGGAGUUUCUUCGAUGACUCCAUGGUAUCUUCUCAGAAAUGAAAGCUAAUACCAUCUUGUCAUGGAGUGAGUGUUGAAAGCAGCACAGUUAGGACUGCUAAUGACAGACAGUGAAAGAUGCACACGUCUGCCGACUUAUAACUACAGUGAUAAUGUUGAGUCGAUGAGGAGUGUGGGGUGGAAGAACAUGUGGUGGUGAUUCAAGAAAACGACUUGAGAUCUGAAACGCUGUUGGUUUACAUAAUAAUUCACUCCAUUCCUUAGGAAAACAGAUAUAAUAUUCCUCUUUUUGUUGUUUUUGUUUAUGACUGGAGAAAGAGAAACCAGUAUCCAUUAGCUUGCACUCAAAAGUGGAGUCAUCCACCCAUCCAUCCAUCCACAAAGGAUUCCUCCCCUUUAAGGAGGCUGAUGAUAAAGGGGAAGAACGGAGACAGCUUCCAAUAUGAGCAGCAAAGUUAUUCCGAAAUAAAGUGGAAGAGGAGGAGGAGGACGAAGAGAAUUAAAGGGUGGAGAGAGGGUGAGAGAAUCCAAGCCACCGGCCGUCACUUCAUGGCCAACGUAUCUUCUGCGUCAGGUAGCCCGGAAAGCGGUAUAAAGCUAGCUGAAACCCUGCUGCUUAUUGCGCCAAGGAUUACGUGCAUGGCUUUGGUGAUGUGAGGUGGAGUGCUGCGUGCGUUUUGAGCUUUGGCGAGGGGAGUAGAUUCGGGUGGAGACAGGUUAACACACGCACCGACAUGAAGUGGUGUACGUGUAGCCUUUGGGCAUCCGAUGACAAGGUUGUUUGUCUCCGGCAACACAUGAUUACUACCGGAGCCUCGAGGAGCAUUUGCAUCCAUGGCCACAAGUGGCAGAACCCCGGGAGACACAGGCUACUGUAGCAUCUGUCUUCCGGCUAUUCAACUGAUAAGUGAUAAGAUUUCUCCAACUAUACGAGGAAAUCUGUAAAAAAAAUUUAUUCUAUUGAGGAAAAUUUU